rnacentral:rRNA from 2 species
UAAGCGACUAAGCGUACACGGUGGAUGCCCUGGCAGUCAGAGGCGAUGAAGGACGUGCUAAUCUGCGAUAAGCGUCGGUAAGGUGAUAUGAACCGUUAUAACCGGCGAUUUCCGAAUGGGGAAACCCAGUGUGUUUCGACACACUAUCAUUAACUGAAUCCAUAGGUUAAUGAGGCGAACCGGGGGAACUGAAACAUCUAAGUACCCCGAGGAAAAGAAAUCAACCGAGAUUCCCCCAGUAGCGGCGAGCGAACGGGGAGCAGCCCAGAGCCUGAAUCAGUGUGUGUGUUAGUGGAAGCGUCUGGAAAGGCGCGCGAUACAGGGUGACAGCCCCGUACACAAAAAUGCACAUGCUGUGAGCUCGAUGAGUAGGGCGGGACACGUGGUAUCCUGUCUGAAUAUGGGGGGACCAUCCUCCAAGGCUAAAUACUCCUGACUGACCGAUAGUGAACCAGUACCGUGAGGGAAAGGCGAAAAGAACCCCGGCGAGGGGAGUGAAAAAGAACCUGAAACCGUGUACGUACAAGCAGUGGGAGCACGCUUAGGCGUGUGACUGCGUACCUUUUGUAUAAUGGGUCAGCGACUUAUAUUCUGUAGCAAGGUUAACCGAAUAGGGGAGCCGAAGGGAAACCGAGUCUUAACUGGGCGUUAAGUUGCAGGGUAUAGACCCGAAACCCGGUGAUCUAGCCAUGGGCAGGUUGAAGGUUGGGUAACACUAACUGGAGGACCGAACCGACUAAUGUUGAAAAAUUAGCGGAUGACUUGUGGCUGGGGGUGAAAGGCCAAUCAAACCGGGAGAUAGCUGGUUCUCCCCGAAAGCUAUUUAGGUAGCGCCUCGUGAAUUCAUCUCCGGGGGUAGAGCACUGUUUCGGCAAGGGGGUCAUCCCGACUUACCAACCCGAUGCAAACUGCGAAUACCGGAGAAUGUUAUCACGGGAGACACACGGCGGGUGCUAACGUCCGUCGUGAAGAGGGAAACAACCCAGACCGCCAGCUAAGGUCCCAAAGUCAUGGUUAAGUGGGAAACGAUGUGGGAAGGCCCAGACAGCCAGGAUGUUGGCUUAGAAGCAGCCAUCAUUUAAAGAAAGCGUAAUAGCUCACUGGUCGAGUCGGCCUGCGCGGAAGAUGUAACGGGGCUAAACCAUGCACCGAAGCUGCGGCAGCGACGCUGAUGCGUUGUUGGGUAGGGGAGCGUUCUGUAAGCCUGCGAAGGUGUGCUGUGAGGCAUGCUGGAGGUAUCAGAAGUGCGAAUGCUGACAUAAGUAACGAUAAAGCGGGUGAAAAGCCCGCUCGCCGGAAGACCAAGGGUUCCUGUCCAACGUUAAUCGGGGCAGGGUGAGUCGACCCCUAAGGCGAGGCCGAAAGGCGUAGUCGAUGGGAAACAGGUUAAUAUUCCUGUACUUGGUGUUACUGCGAAGGGGGGACGGAGAAGGCUAUGUUGGCCGGGCGACGGUUGUCCCGGUUUAAGCGUGUAGGCUGGUUUUCCAGGCAAAUCCGGAAAAUCAAGGCUGAGGCGUGAUGACGAGGCACUACGGUGCUGAAGCAACAAAUGCCCUGCUUCCAGGAAAAGCCUCUAAGCAUCAGGUAACAUCAAAUCGUACCCCAAACCGACACAGGUGGUCAGGUAGAGAAUACCAAGGCGCUUGAGAGAACUCGGGUGAAGGAACUAGGCAAAAUGGUGCCGUAACUUCGGGAGAAGGCACGCUGAUAUGUAGGUGAAGUCCCUCGCGGAUGGAGCUGAAAUCAGUCGAAGAUACCAGCUGGCUGCAACUGUUUAUUAAAAACACAGCACUGUGCAAACACGAAAGUGGACGUAUACGGUGUGACGCCUGCCCGGUGCCGGAAGGUUAAUUGAUGGGGUUAGCGCAAGCGAAGCUCUUGAUCGAAGCCCCGGUAAACGGCGGCCGUAACUAUAACGGUCCUAAGGUAGCGAAAUUCCUUGUCGGGUAAGUUCCGACCUGCACGAAUGGCGUAAUGAUGGCCAGGCUGUCUCCACCCGAGACUCAGUGAAAUUGAACUCGCUGUGAAGAUGCAGUGUACCCGCGGCAAGACGGAAAGACCCCGUGAACCUUUACUAUAGCUUGACACUGAACAUUGAGCCUUGAUGUGUAGGAUAGGUGGGAGGCUUAGAAGUGUGGACGCCAGUCUGCAUGGAGCCGACCUUGAAAUACCACCCUUUAAUGUUUGAUGUUCUAACGUUGACCCGUAAUCCGGGUUGCGGACAGUGUCUGGUGGGUAGUUUGACUGGGGCGGUCUCCUCCUAAAGAGUAACGGAGGAGCACGAAGGUUGGCUAAUCCUGGUCGGACAUCAGGAGGUUAGUGCAAUGGCAUAAGCCAGCUUGACUGCGAGCGUGACGGCGCGAGCAGGUGCGAAAGCAGGUCAUAGUGAUCCGGUGGUUCUGAAUGGAAGGGCCAUCGCUCAACGGAUAAAAGGUACUCCGGGGAUAACAGGCUGAUACCGCCCAAGAGUUCAUAUCGACGGCGGUGUUUGGCACCUCGAUGUCGGCUCAUCACAUCCUGGGGCUGAAGUAGGUCCCAAGGGUAUGGCUGUUCGCCAUUUAAAGUGGUACGCGAGCUGGGUUUAGAACGUCGUGAGACAGUUCGGUCCCUAUCUGCCGUGGGCGCUGGAGAACUGAGGGGGGCUGCUCCUAGUACGAGAGGACCGGAGUGGACGCAUCACUGGUGUUCGGGUUGUCAUGCCAAUGGCACUGCCCGGUAGCUAAAUGCGGAAGAGAUAAGUGCUGAAAGCAUCUAAGCACGAAACUUGCCCCGAGAUGAGUUCUCCCUGACUCCUUGAGAGUCCUGAAGGAACGUUGAAGACGACGACGUUGAUAGGCCGGGUGUGUAAGCGCAGCGAUGCGUUGAGCUAACCGGUACUAAUGAACCGUGAGGCUUAACCU